UGGUGGAGUGAUUUGUCUGGUUAAUUCCGUUAACGAACGAGACCCCCGCCUGCUAAAUAGUUGCGAUUAUGCUUAGCAUAGUUGGCAGCUUCUUAGAGGGACUUUCGGUGAUCAACCGAAGGAAGUUGGGGGCGAAUAACA
rnacentral:rRNA from 1 species